rnacentral:rRNA from 1 species
CAGCACUAAGUCACUUUGUCUUUAUGGCAAAUGUGAGAUGCAGUGUAUGGAAUGUCAAAUUUCUAGUAUGAGAAAUUAACGAUUUAAGUCCUUCUUAAAUGAGGCCAUUUACCCAUAGAGGGUGCCAGGCCCGUAUAACGUUAAUGAUUACUAGAUGGCAUUUCCAAAGAGUCGUGUUGCUUGAUAGUGCAGCACUAAGUGGGUGGUAAACUCCAUCUAAAACUAAAUAUAACCAUGAGACCGAUAGUAAACAAGUACCGUGAGGGAAAGUUGAAAAGAACUCUGAAUAGAGAGUUAAAUAGUACGUGAAACUGCUUAGAGGUUAAGCCCGAUGAACCUGAAUAUCCAUUAUAGAAAAUUCAUCAUUAUGAUUUUAAUAUUAAUAAUAUUAUAAUAAUGGUGUGCAUUUUUUCUAUAACGGACAUUGUAAUCUAUUAACAUAAAUAUAUUUAUCAUAAGAUCAAUGAUGCGUAAGUUUAUUCAAAUUAUUUUGCUUGCAAUUUAACAUAGAAUAAAUGCUCUUGAUUUGAUAAAGUGUUGAUAGAUUUAUUGUAUAUAGUGCUUAAAUAUUUAUAUUUUAUAAUAGCAUAUUAAUCAUUGAUUUUUAUGUUUAUUAUAUGCACUUAUAUGAUUAACAAUGCGAAAGAUUCAGGAUACCUUCGGGACCCGUCUUGAAACACGGACCAAGGAGUCUAACAUAUUUGCAAGUUAUUGGGUAUCAAAACCUAAUAGCGAAAUUAACAUAACUUUAAUGGGAUUAGUUUUUAGAUUAUUUAUAGUCUAUUAAUUCAAUCCCGGGGCGUUCUAUAUAGUUAUGUAUAAUAAUAUUUAUAUUAUUUAUACCUCUAACUAGAGCGUACCUUGAGCAUAUAUGCUGUGACCCGAAAGAUGGUGAACUAUACUUGAUCAGGUUGAAGUCAGGGGAAACCCUGAUGGAAGACCGAAACAGUUCUGACGUGCAAAUCGAUUGUCA